UACGGGAAGGGCAAGCGUUAUCCGGCGUGACUGGGCGUAAAGGGUGCGUAGGCGGCGCGGUAAGUCGGGUGUGAAAUCUCGGAGCUUAACUCCGAAACUGCAUUCGAUACUGCCGUGCUUGAGGACUGGAGAGGAGACUGGAAUUUACGGUGUAGCGGUGAAAUGCGUAGAUAUCGUAAGGAAGACCAGUGGCGAAGGCGGGUCUCUGGACAGUUCCUGACGCUGAGGCACGAAGGUCAGGGGAGCAAACGGG
rnacentral:rRNA from 1 species